UGAAGGACAAGCACCCAUGAAGGCAAUUUUUUUGGUAUGAACAACUUCAUUAGAGAAGAUCCUCACAAUAGACAACCUAUAGAAACAUCACAUCAUAGUCAUAGAUUGGUAUUGUAUGUGCAAAAAGAGUGGAAAGUCCGUGGAUCUCCUAUUACUUCAUUGCGAGAUUGCUACAACCUUGAGGAAACUUCUUUGCUCAUAGGAUUAGCUUGAGUGAUGCCAAAAAGAGUAAUCGAUCUCUUAGCUUUUUGGCGAGGCAUUCAGGGCAAUCCUUUGAUUGGAACAGUGUGAAAGAUGGGAUAAUUUCAUGAUCACUAAAAAAUUUGUUUAUCGAUAAAAGAAAAAAUGAACAAAAUUCUUAAUCGAUAAGGCAGUUCUAGAUAAUGGGAUGUUCAAGCAAAGAGAAUCAAGCUUCAUGCAAUUCAAUCCUUGCGCUCAAAUGACAUUUCAGUUAGGUAGAAGAUUGCGAAAUUAAAUCCUAGAACGAGUUAAAAAUGCAUCAAUAUUGAAAGCGCAUGUUACAAGAAGUUCUAGCAUACUUAUUUCUGGUUGUAAUUCACACCUACCCCUUUCAUAAUAGAUUUUAUGUGCGGUGUUUAUACAACCGAGCAGUCAACAGAAUACUAAAAGGUAACUUGAUCACCAAAAAGCCUAAUUACAUAUCAAAGCUCUCCGCUGCUCUACCUAAUCAGCUAAUA